AUGUCUGCUGCAUCGGGCUAUGUUGCUGUCCCUCGCUGUCCGGUGAUUUUCGAUGGUACUAACUACACCGAGUUCGCUGGCUUCAUGCGCAUUCACAUGCGUGGCAUCCGUCUCUGGGGUGUUCUUUCUGGCGAGGUCUGCUGUCCGCCACGUCCGGUUCCUCCGGUGGCCCCUACUCCGCCGACUCCACUGGUUCUUCCUACGGAUGCUAAUCAGGCCGCCAAGGAUGCGGCUAAGAUUGCUGAUGAGGCUGCUGAUCGUGCCUAUGAUGAGAGGGUUUUGGCUUAUGAGGAGGCUCUUCAGACGUAUCAUGGUGCUUUGUCUGUUUACACCCAGUGGCUUGAUGAUGAUGCUCGUGCUGCAGCUGUUCUCACUGCUAGUGUUCUGCCUUAG
rnacentral:rRNA from 1 species